AGAAAAAGAAGGACCAUUUGGGGGUGAUUGGAAGACUAGAUUGGCCAGCAAAGAGAGUAAAUGGCAGAUCCUGACAGACUCCACUAGAAGUCCAGCUGAAAAAGUCUCUGG